rnacentral:rRNA from 1 species
GUUUCUUCGGAAACGAGUACAGCGGCGGAUGGGUGCGUAACACGUGAGAAUCUGCCCUUUAGUGAAGGAUACCUACGAGAAAUCGUGGUUAAUACUGCAUAAGUCUUUCUUGAUGAGAGAAAGAGAAAGGUGGCCUCUUUGCUACCGCUAAAGGAUGAGCUCGCGGCCUAUUAGUUUGUUGGUAAGGUAAUGGCUUACCAAGGCGAUGAUGGGUAGCCGGCCUGAGAGGGUGUACGGCCACAUUGGGACUGAGAUACGGCCCAGACUCCUACGGGAGGCAGCAGUGGGGAAUAUUGCGCAAUGGGCGAAAGCCUGACGCAGCGACGCCGCGUGGAGGAUGACGGUUUUCGGAUUGUAAACUCCUGUUAAGUGGGAAGAAAUACCAAGGCCUAAUACGUCUUGGGGCUGACGGUACCACUAGAGAAAGCACCGGCAAACUUCGUGCCAGCAGCCGCGGUAAUACGAGGGGUGCAAACGUUAUUCGGAGUAACUGGGCGUAAAGAGCGUGUAGGCGGCUUGUUAAGUCAGCUGUU